CCUGGGUAUGGUGGUGCACGCCUCUAAUUCCAGCAACUUGGGAGGCUGAGGCAGGAGGAUUGCAAGUUAAAGGCCAGCCUCAGCAACUUAAUGAAGCCCUAAACAACUUAGCAAGACCCUGUCUCAA
rnacentral:sRNA from 1 species